rnacentral:lncRNA from 1 species
AUGCUUAACUUGUCGGGAAAAUUAUCUGUUUUCUUCUAAGGAUUGUUGCUAGCGCCAGAGUUCAGAAGCUUGAAGCUGCUUGAUCACUCUGUUUUGACUUGCUAUUGAAAGGGGUUAUUUAGUUUUGGACAAUAAUGCUUAGUGUGUACUCUUUUAGGUAUAGCUGCAAAUUUGGUAUGCUAUGAGUCAAAUUAUUAGCAUAAUUGAGAUGAAUUAAUGCUCUAUGUAUUAUUAACUAGAUUUUUUGGAGAAAGAAACAUUCAGUUGAAGAUAAAAUCAUUGAUUAUGACCGCUCUUGACUCUUUGAAGUACAAGGAAAACCCUAAAGAGCAAACCCAGUCUUUAUCAGUGGACAGAUGGGCUUUUGCAACGUCACACUGUGGGAAACCCAGCACACCUCAAGUUAAUGGUACCUCGUUCUGGAUUCUCCAGUGGUGACAGAAUUCUGUAUUAUUUACCCAGCACCUAGUAAUUUGCUUGUUCAAAACGCUAUAUGCAUAUCUAUGAAGUCAUUAAACAAUGUAUCACGUUUUAAGUCAAACAGCUAGCUGAUGCAAAUCACCUAUGGUUAGUAUGGCAUCUGCUCUUUCUAGAAAGGUAGAAGAUAUAUAUAUGUCACAGGUUCAAAAGUGAUAGAUCAUCGAUGCCUCUGAGAUAUGCAUACCAAGCCUAUUAUGGUAACACAUUCAUUCAACUCCAUUUGAAUUCUACGCUAUAGAUCCAGCUAGUGCCAGUUCAAAUUAAUUUCCUACAAUCUGAUCGUACAAACAAUAAGAUUUCUUUGCUUUCAAGCAUAUCUUGAACAUUCUUUUUUAAUCUAGGCAACUACCAAUAUCAAGUAUGGCACAGGCAAAUACUUUUCUAGUUCACAAUAAAUCAAGCCAAGAUUGGAAAGCCCCAAUGUUUGACUUGGCUCAGCUUGCUAGGUGAAAUUGGGCUUCGAACUUUUUUGACAAAAUUCUUUAAAAUUUUGUUUUAAAAUUUACUAGUUGGGCAAAUGCACUAAAUAUAAUACUAAUAAUUAAAAAAAAAAGGCAUGUACUUCAUUUCUUCAUGUUCAAUGGGAUCCCGAUUUGGGUCAGUCCCAAAGUAAAUACCAAAAUACCCAGAAACCCUGAUUUGGAGAAGAUCCAAAGCUUUUUAAUCUACAACUAAUUAUGAGAAUAUCAACAUGCACUUGAACACAAGGUCACGACCUCUCUUUGUUGAACAUCAUGAAAUGAAGCAAAAAGCAAGUGUCAAUAAAGGUCGAUUUCACAAACCAAAUCCAAACAAUUUGAACACAUUCAAUUAUACUAUCACUGAUCUUUUUCUAAUUUGAAUACACAAGCAAAAGAUUAAUUUUUUCCAAACUCAUGCUACACCUUAUACGUCCGCAUUAGCAUUAAAUCAUAAAAAAGGGAAAGAAAAAGAAACAUCUGCAGAACUAAAACAUGUAUUUAAAAAAAAAAAUUACCAAGAAAAAUGAAAAUAAAAACAAUGGAGGAAUUGACCUGUAUUUAUUGAAUCUCCAAUUCCAAUAUCGCGUACUUUUAACAUAAUGUAAUCCAAGAAUUCAACAAAACUGUUCUAUAUAGUAAGGGACAAAAAUGAGUUACCAAAACUUGAUGGACCUUAUUAUUAGUUAAGCCCUCCAUCAUUUUUCCCGCCAAAAUCAGUUAGUAGAAAAUGCAACCAAACAAAGGAUGAAAAAAAAAAAAGGCAUACUACCUCCUCCUUUUCUUCUUCAAGUCUUCUUCCUAUUGCUCUUCUUCUUCUUCUUGUAGUUAUUCUUGUUCUUCUUCUUACUGUUCUUCCAAUGAUCACCAGUCAUCUCGUCCGUCUGAUUAUCAUCAUCAUCUUGAUGAUCACCAAGCAUCUCCUUCUCGUUGCUCUCACCGUUAUUAUCACCAACCUCUUCCUGACGAUCAUCACCAUUGUCACUCGCAUCAUUACCACAAUCAUCUUGGCGAUAACCAAUCAUCUCCGCAUUCGACACCCAUCUCUCCCCACCGCUUUCUUGGAACUGGGUAUUGGCAUUCUCCGGCUGUCCACUUUAUACAAAGUUGGCAGGAAAGCACCUUUCGGAUUCGAGCUCAUUUUGUCUCUCGUUACUCCGCACGUUUUCAUCGCGCCCGAUAUUAAUCUCGAUGACUCAUUAAUUAUCUUGCACAUUAAGUCCAUCUUCUCAGAAAAGCUUUCAGACCCUAGGCUCUCCAUACACAUUCCGUAGCACAACUUCGUCUGAUUCUUCUCAUGAUGAUGAUGAUGAUGAUGAUGAUCACCAGUAGUGAUCUCCUCCUUGUUAUUCACAUCAUCACUAAUAUCCUCUUCUUGAUGAUCGGGUUUCAUCUCCACCGCCGGUGUCUCAUCGCUCCCAAAUUCAAACUUUAUGAUCUUCAACCGUCCAUCACUCCCCGCCACUUUCACGACACCGAAUCUUGGCCGUCCGCCGCUGUUCAGUGCAGACAAAAACGGUGGGAAAACUUGCGGCCUACAUUUUUCUCUCAUUAUAACUCCGCACAAUUUCUUCAUUCUGCUGCUUGAUGUAAUUAACCUUGAUGAGUGCUCCUCAAUCACCUUGGACAGGUCCAUCUUCUCCAACGUGCUUUCAAAGCCUAGGAUUCCUUUGGCGGUUCCCGGAGGCGUCAGUUCAUCCACAGACUGCGUUCCCGCGGCGGCAGCGGUUCUUCCAAGAAUGUCGCCGGCUCUGGUAUGUGGAUUAACACUGCUUCCGAUUACAGAAUAAAAAAUGCCCGCAGGUGGUGAGCUUGUGACGCUAACGGAUGAUAUCUCGGGAGGUUGGCUGGCCAUUGGUUGUGAGGUCACCGUCAUCCGGAGGCUUCCUUAUCAGGUUCUUGGUUCUCUGAGGUGGAGGACUUGAAUUUCUUAGGAGGACUUGAAUUUCUUAGGAGAACUCAUCAAUAAGUUUUUUAUUAUCAAGAAAAUCCAUUAAUUAGAGCUGAGUUUUGAUAUUUUAUGGAAGAGUAUUCAGAGGAACGGUGCGUGGGGCCGUGUGAGUGAUUGGGCGGGUGGCAUGCCAACGUGGCAUUUCAGUAGUUAGUUGUGGUGACUAUAGUUUGGGAGUUCGGUAACCGUAUACAUACAGUUACCAACUAUAGUGUAGCACUACUCUUAUGAUUUACUAAUCGAAUCUAAAACAUAUUGGUAGAUAAAUUUAAUUGAUAAUGAAAAGUUGCAACCACUAAAAAAUAUAUCGUCGGAAUAAUAAGUAUUAUUUAUCAUGAUCAUUGUUCCAACAACUAAAAAUAUUUUAGGUUUUUUUGUUUCCUAACCUCUCUUAAUUUAAUAAGUGGGCAAUAUUGAAUUUUAAAUUUUAGUAUUGAUAAUCAAAUCAAUUGUUUUUUGUUGAUGCUGAAAUCUGCUCGCUCUUGGACCGACCAGAUUCUUUCACCAACAUUUAUGUUAUCAGCUGCUGCUUGAACCAUUGGGGUUGGAAUCGCCCUCCUUUCUCUUAUUAGACAUGCAUUCACCAAAAACGGAUCAGAGACGCAGGUGGUUUUGCCGGCGUAAAUCCUCCGAUGCCUAAGUUAGCACAAGGUGUUUCACGGGAAAACGGUUCAAUUUAGAUUCAAGAACGACUUCUAAUCUAUUCGGAGUUUGUAAGAAAAUGGCCUUGGUUGCGAUUUGGCAGUGUUCUCCCUCCCUCCGUUUUUCUGUCCCCUCCUUCAUCGAUUUCUUCCCCUUUUAUAGCUGCUGUCCCCCCGUUUUCCUUCUCCAUUCCUUCCCCUUUUCUCGGGUAAUGGCAACCCCUAGUGGGACUCUAAUUGCUUUCUUCCCCUUGUUUUUCGGGUAGCGGCAGCCCCUAGUGGGACUCUAACUGCUUUCUUCUCCUUGUUUUUCGGGUAGCGGCAGCCCCUAGUGGGACUCUAACUGCUUUACUUUGGGCAAACGUGGGAUCUUGCAUCCACCUCAAUAGUUCUGGAUCGUGUGCCCACUCUCUGGGGGAUGGGUAUCGGCUCGGUAUAUGUCUCUGGUCGGUAUACUCUUAUGGUUGGUACUUGUUUCUGGUCGUCCCAUGUUUGUAGAAGGCUUAUUACCAGUGUUCUGCUCCAGCAAAAGGUAUAUGGAAAGCGCAAAUGCCAGAGAGAGAAUAAAUUGAGUAUAGUUUAUAAUCUUUUAUUAUUAUUCACACAAAAUUACUGUUUCAUAAUCACGACGGGGCAGAUUGUUUUAAACCUGCUUUACUUCAAUGGUUUUGUAAAUUAUAUCAACUUUGUCGAGGGCGGUAGAAACUCUGUAGGACGAAAUCUUGGUUUGGAGAUUUUUAUGAUUACUUUAUUUGUACAGUGUGAGGUUGGGAGCGAUAACUGAACACUUGAAAAUAUAUUUUUCUUUGAGCUUCUCUUUUGACCAUUACCAUCGAUGUCAUUAGUAAUAGGAUAUAUAUACUAUAAAUUUGACUGUAUUUUUUUAAUGUUAUAUAUCUUCUGGUUUUGUAAUUAGUUCUUAUGACAAAUACAAGCAAAUGGUCUAACAAUGAAAUCGUGACCAUUACUUCAGGUUCAUGCCAGAAUAUUUCCUGCUGGUCUAAGAGUAAGUGAUUUCAUGCGGAUAGAGAACCAUCACUGAAUGUAAAACAAGCGAAGUUAGUGUGCAUUGAAAAAUAUCUUCGAUACAUAGAGGGUCACAAUUCACAGGAAUGUUUGAUGUCGAUGCCUCUCAAAGCCUAUAUACUCUCACGUUUCACAAAUUCAGAGCCCAAGCUUUAAUGGAUGGGCUAUCAUCGAAGCCCAUCCAGGAAGACGACUAAAUUUCUACAAAGCAUAUUCAUUCACUCGGCUUAAAUCUUCAAAUAGAAUGGCUAAGCAGCGAUAAAUUGAAUCUGAAAAAAAAGACUGUCGUAAUAUAAUACACAUCUGACCCCAUGCACUAGCGUUGUUUUUCCCUUAUAUAAAAAACAUGUAAUGAAAUAGUAGAAAAUACCAAGAAAAAACUAAAAACAAUGAAGGAAGAUGAAGCAGAAUGAAUGAGAGAGAAAUUUUUUUUCACCUUUUAAAUCUUCAAUUCAAAUGAAAUCACGUAAUGCUAAACUAAUUAAGAAGCUUUUUCAAUCGUGAUUUAACCUAGAAUUGGAACAAGAUGCUCUCGCAGUAAGUAACCUAAAUGAAUUACCAAAACUUGGAUGGGCCUUCUUAGUUCUUAUGACCAUCUCCAUCAAUUGAAACGAGGGCAUGCGCCAAUGUAGCAGAUGAUUUGAUGAAUGGAAACGGGUAAGUUAUUUGUUGGUCGCUAUACAUAGGUAGUUGGGGGAGUUCAGCGUAAGAUUGUGCCAAUGUGCCAUCCAUUACCACUAAUAAAUAAUAUACCCAACCUUAUUGUAGCACUAAUAAAACCUUGAGUGAUGAUACAACCACAAACCCUUGUACAAACUUAUCUUGUACAAACUGAUGUGGCAUUAAUUCAUUGGUUGGAUAAAAAUAUAAAAUAAUAAAAACAAAUCAUGUGGGCCAAGUGAUAUUUAAUUCAACCAAUCUUAUCAUGUCACAUCAGUUUGUACAAAAUAAGUUUGUACAAGAGUUUAUGGUUAUAUCAUUACUCUUUGUAGAGUGAUGAUACAACCACAAACUCUUGUACAAACUGACGUGGCAUUAAUUCAUUGGUUGAAUGAAAAUAUAAAAUAAAAAAAAAAUCAUGUGGGCCAAGUGAUAUUUAAUUCAACCAAUCUUAUCAUGUCACACCAGUUUGUACAAAAUACGUUUGUACAAGAGUUUGUGGCUAUAUCAUUACUCUUUGUAGAGUGAUGAUACAGCCAUAAACUCUUGUACAAACUGACGUGGCAUUAAUUCAUUGGUUGAAUGAAAAUAUAAAAUAAUAAAAACAAAUCAUGUGGGCCAAGUGAUAUUUAAUUCAACAAAUCUUAUCAUGUCACAUCAGUUUGUACAAAAUAAGUUUGUACAAGAGUUUGUGGCUAUAUCAUUACUCUUGUAUUUUUAUUCAACCAAUGAAUUGAUGCUACAUUAGUUUGUACAAAAUAAAUUUGUACAAGUAUUUGUGGUUGUAUUAUUACUCAUUAAAUAAUGCUAUACGAGCAGAUGGUCGUCGAGACGAAACUCUAAAGAGCAGGGUUUUUAAUUCAAUAUGCCUUAAAAGUAGAGUAUUUAGUUAAAUAUACCCCAUGCUUGAAAAUUAUUUAGAUAUACUUUUUAUGUGGUACAUUAUCUAAAAUAUCCCUAAAGAAAAAUAUAAAACACACACAACUCACAACACUUUUUACUUCUCACUCUUUUUAACCCCACACAACAAAAACUCACACCACACUCAAAAUCACUCACAAACAACUAAUACACUGAGAUUUUUGUUUGCAGCUGGUGUAUUAUUCAUGCCAUGAAUAAGGUAUUUGAAACUUUUUUUUAAAUUUUGUUUAUCUAUUCAAUUUGUUGACAUUAUAUUAUUUUUAGGGUUUUGUUUGGUUUGUGAUAAACACGAAAGCAACUUAUAUUUUCAUUACAUUUGCAACAUAUGACUGUUAUUUGAUGAAUUUUAUAACUACAUUCGUUAAAACCUGAAGUUGUUGCCAAAUUUUUUUUCUGCACCCGACAUACACGACAGCAGUCGUGUAUGUACGUAUUUACACGACUGUAGUCGUGAAAAUGUGCAAAAAAUUUAAUUAUUAUGACACCUUAUCAUUCUAUUGGUUCAAAAAAUAUAUAUUUUUUCACUAUAUAUAUAUCAUUUUACUAUUACUGGACUAUAGUCGUGUGUGUUAAUAGGUUACACGACUACUAGCGUGUACGUGUGAACUUACAUACUAUAAUUGUGUAUAUAUGUAAAAUGUUCCAAUUUUUAUGAGAUCCCAAUAUUUUUUUAAGAAGAAAUAUGUCCUCUGAUUAUUUACUGAGUCAUGUAUUUUUGUAACUUACACGACUUCUGUCAUGUAUGUAUGAAUUUACACGACAACAAUCCUACAAGUUUGAAAAAUAUAGUAGUUGUUAUGACACCUAACAUUCUGUUAGUACAAAGAUUACAGUUAUUUUUUAUUAAAUAUAUCAUCUGACUGUUUACAGAACUAUAGUUGUGUAUUUUAGCAAGUUACACAACUAUUGUCGUGUAAACUAUCAAUUACACGACGUCAGUCGUGUAAAUAGGCAGAUAGAUCUACACUUCAUUAUAAAUCUUGUUUGAUUUUAUUUUUGUAUUUGUUGUAUAAUCAACUGUUGUAUUAUUACAGAAAAUGACUUCAGUACGUGUGCCUAUUAUGUUUUGUGGUGAAUGAAUUUUAUUUUUCUACAUUUUUGUUUCGCAGAUGAAUAAACGUGUUUGUGUGGCUUUCUAAGAAUAAGUAUUGAAGGGAGGUGACCAGAGGCUUAUAAAAUAUGGACCGAGUGUUUGGGUUGAAGAUGCCAAAAAUUUAUGAUGAAUGUUAAACAACUUCUAUUGUAUUACGACUUAUUUACGAUUUCAAUAAGUAUUGCAUUUAUGUUAUUUGAUAGGCAACCGGACUACAGUUAGUUUCAUUUAUUUGAAGUUUGAUAUGUUAAAGUCUAUAUUGAUUGUGUCAUCAAUAUAAUGAAUGUUUUAGGAGAGUUUUUAUUCUGUGCACAUACCCGAGUACAAUCGUGUAGUUUGGCUGUUACAGAACUGGUCAUGUUUAUUUAUAAAUACUCGACUGCAGUCGUGUAUCUGUGCAAAUACCCGACUGCAGUCGUGUAUUUUCUCACAGAGAGAUUCUCAUGUUUAUUUCUAAAUACUCGACUGCAGUCUUGUAUCUGUGCAAAUACCCGACUGUAGUCGUGUAUUUUAUCACAGAGAGCUUGUCAUGUUUAUUUGUAAAUACCCGACUGUAAUCGUGUAUUUGUGUAAAUAUCCGACUGCAGUCGUGUAUUUUCUCACGGAGAGCUUGUCAUGUUUAUUUGUCAAUACCCGACUGCAGUCGUGUAUCUGUGCAAAUACCCGACUGCAGUCGUGUAUUUUCUCACGGAGAGCUUGUCAUGUUUAUUUGUCAAUACCCGACUGCAGUCGUGUAUCUGUGCAAAUACCCGACUGCAGUCGUGUAUCUGUGCAAAUACCGGACUGCAGUCGUGUAUUUUCUCACAGCGUAUUCCAUGUGCAUAUAUGGCAAUCAUGUUAUAUCACAUAGAUUGUACAAACUAUCUUAUAUAUCAUUAAUAUAAUUAACAAAUAAAUAAAAUAUACUAAUGAUGUCAAGUUAUCUUUAAUGACAUCAAAUAUCAACGACAUCCUCAUCAUAACUAUUACAUCUCAUAGUCCAAAAAAUGACACUACAAAUUUUUUUUCCAUUACCUAUGCCCAAAUAAUUUGACAGCCAAGGCUUUUCGAAAUUGUGUAAAAUGAUCUUAUUGGCAAUAUGAAUUGACAUCAAGUCCAUGGGCUAGGACCUCCAAGUACCGCAACAAAAAUGCUCAACAAUCACCACUACAAAAAUUCAUAUAAAUCAAUUGUUAAAAAUCAUCAUUCUUAUUAUUAUGUUCAAAACACAUUAUAUGUAUAGUACAUACCCUGAUUUUUGUUGUGGGAUGUCACGCACUCGCACGAUGGGCCAAUGAAUUUUCGAUAUAACCUCACUACAGUCUGGAUGUGUUUCGUGAUAUAUAGUAUCUUCUGAAGUAUUAGAGGUAUCAUGUCUGCAAUAGGCAGUAAUUGUCUCACCAAAAUUAAAUCCUUUGUUAAGUCUAUUAUGGAGUCAUAAAUAGAAGUCUAUUCAGAUUCCUUGAUCUUCGGUUCCAUCUGCAUAAAUACAAAAAAAAAUUUAUCAAUCAAUAUAUAAAAUGAUUGAAAAGUUGCAUAAUAAUAUAUUUUAAACUAAUCAUAAAAAUUACACGACAUACCAGUCGAGUAAAUCAUUCAUUGCACAACUACAGUCGAGUAAAACAUGCAUUGAACUACAGUCCACUAUAUAAACCAUAGAUUCUUUGUAACAUUGAAAAUAAAGUGUUCAUACCCGACGCAUGUCCAGUGAAGAAUUCUUUACAAACGACAGUCGAGUAAAGAACUAAUUAUGCGAAUAUAAUGGAGUAAAGUGUUCAUACCCGACUACUGUCAAGUAAAGCAUUCUUCACACAGCAGCAGUCGUGUAAAGAAUUCUUUACACAACUGCUGUCGAGUAAAGAAUUCUUUACACGACUCCAGGGUAAAAGUCAGGUAAAGAAAUGCUUUACGCAAUUGCAUUAGAGAAUUCUUUACACCACUCCAGGAUACAAAUCAGGUAAAGAAAUUCUUUAAACAACUGCAUUGGAAGCUAGAUUAUAAUAACAACUAAAAAAAGCCACCUAAACUUUCAAAAUUAAAACAAAUAAAAUAAAUAAACAAAUAUGCAAAACCUGGGGAGGUCCCUGAACUACAACGACAAAUGGCGGUGGUUCACCGUAAGAGCGGUCUAUAGUCAGAAUGUGAAGCCGACUUUGCUCUUUCUCUACUGCUUGUGACUGUAAUAACUUGGAUUUCACAUAUGAUGUAAAAGCAAAUGCCUAAAAGAUAAUAGCAAUAACGAAAAUUAAAUUCAGCAAUAGUAAUUAUUUUAUUUAUAUAAAUGAAGGGGGGAAAAUAAAGUAAAUAACAAUUGACGACCAUAGGGUUUUGUUUCUUAUCAUGUUUAUUUUUUUAUCGGAUUUGGACUUCUUUUUUGCAAAAAAGCCCGAUUUGUAAGUCAUGUGUGCCUUGUGCUUUUGCAGCAGUUGUGGCAACAGAGAGUCGGGAGAAGAGAGUAAGGCAUUGGGUUUAGGGGAUGGUGAAGAAUAAGAGGAGAGCAAAGCGCCACUGGCGCGCGAAGCGCAUGCAGAACGGGCACAGAGAAAAAUUAAUGUGGAGGAAAAGCAGCCGAGCUCAUUCCCUUCGCUUCUGGGGCCAAAGCAGUGCAGUCGUUCCUGGCCAAAUCAAGGAUUUGGGGCUUCUUGCUACACCUACGCUACUUAAGAAUGUUCUUCGGGUUGAGAGAGAGAGCUUUGCAUCUUUGAAGAAGAAAAGACAGUAAUCAAUUGGAAGAAGAACGAACGGUAAUCAAUUGGAAGAAGAAAAGCUUUGUAUUCACCUCUAGCUUCAACUCCAGGGAUGAGGGCGUGUUUUGUGACUGAUUGUGCAGGGUAAUUUGUAUGAUUUAAGUUUUUAAUUAGGGUAAUUUCGUAACUGCACAUUAAAAAAGGUAUAUAUGAGAAAGUUUAGAGUAUAAAGGUGUUUUUAGAUAAAUACCCUUUUUUUUGGGGUAUACCACGGACAAAUCCCUGCUAAAGAGCAGAACUGUUGACUUCACUCUGGCUGACGCGAGCAUCGUUAAAUUGAGUCUCUACGGCUGCGCGGGUUUGGUUAUCAAAAGCUGUUGAUGCUAAGCUGCCCCGUCCCGUGAGCACACCACGAUAUCAUAAACCGCGGCUACUACCGUUCCCGAUAGAUAUGAUGAACGACGAAGACAUCCUGAAGAAGCUCGAGGACUCCACAAAAAACGCCACGCGUCACCAGCUCGAGACUCUCCAGUCAAUCCUCGAACGCCAAAGCGGCGUACGUUAUCUCCAACCCUACCUCUCAGGCUGCUGUGCGCCGAUCGACGCGGCAACUUACAAGCGCGCAGUGCCGUUGUCUUGCUACGAUGACUACGCUGAUCACAUCAAUCAAUUGGCCGGUGGCGAUCACGGUCAAAAUGAUCAACCUCUGCUGUCCGUUGAUCCCUUAGUAUGCUUCUUUUACAGGUAAAAAAUCAAUCUUUUCUCCAAGCCAAACAUUGAUUUUAGAAUUUGUUUAAUUUUUCAUUUCGAGUUUUAAUGCUUUACAGUUCUGGGACAAGUUCAAUGAAGCCAAAAUUGAUUCCAUAUUUUGACUCAGCACUUUCAAAAGCUGCUUCACAAAUACCUCACCAAGGCUGCAUUGCAAUUCUUCGAAGGUCUUAAAUUUUUUGUUGUUAAUUUCACGUCUUUAUAUCAUUAUGCAUAUUACUUUGUUCUGUUUCUGAUUUUUGAAAUUCAAUCGAUCUAGGUUGUUUCCUCCGAAACAUGAUGUUAAUAAGAUCUUAUUUUUCAUUUACUCGGACAAUAAAACAACAACAAAAGCUGGAUUUAAAGUUAUGGCUGCGUCUGCUUUUCCUUUGCAAGGUAGUAGUAACGAAAACUUGUCUCAACUUAGCCGUCAUUCUAGUCCGCGUGAAGUCAUUGUUGGAUCAAAUUUUCAGCACCAAAUGUACUGCCACCUUCUUUGCGGUCUAAGGAAUUAUGAAUUUAUCGAUGGAAUUAUUUCUCCUUAUGCUAUAGGAUUAAUUGGAGCAUUUAGUUUUUUUGAAUCUAAGUGGGAGCAGCUAUGUGAUGAUCUUGAAAAUGGGUACCCGUGUUUGGAUAUUACUGAGGUUGCAAUGUGAGAUUCUGUUAUUGAAGUUCUUGGUGGGCCACAACCAGAUUUGUCAAAAAGGAUCCGAUCAAUUUGUGGAGAAAGUAAUUGGUCUGGGAUUUUUAGUAAAUUAUGGCCUAAUGUUCGAUAUAUUAAGUGUGUUACAACCGGAAGCAUGAGGCAAUAUUGUUCAAAAAUAAAGUAUUACGCAGGGGAGGUUCCUGUUUUAGGUGGAGAUUAUUUUGCAUCAGAAUGUUAUGUGGGUAUUAAUUUGGAUAUCGCACAGCCUCCGCAGACAACACGAUUCGUUAUGCUUCCCACUGCGGCCUAUUUCGAGUUCCUUCCUUUUGAUAUGGAGAAGAAUGAGGCUGUUGGAGAAGAAACUGUUGAUUUUUCUGGUGUUGAGAUUGGAAAGAUGUAUGAAGUGGUUGUGACUACUUAUAGAGGAUUUUACCGGUACCGUUUGGGUGAUAUUGUGAAAGUUGUUGAUUUCUAUAAUUCUUCUCCACAAGUGGAGUUCGUGAUGAGAGCUCCUAAAAGUUCUUUUGAGAUAAUAAAUGAGAGAGAUUUGAUGUCUGCCAUGGAAAGUUUCCAAAUGAUGCUUAGAAACGUUAUGGCUGUUGAGAUCGUGGAGUUUGCAGGCUAUACGAAUUUGGAGUCGAGUCCAAAGAAGCUAACGAUCUUUGUUGAAAUUAGAGAGGGAUGUACUAAGUUGCGAGACUCAGUUGCAAUCCUUAGAAGGUGUUGUUCCUCGCUGGAGGGUGCCUUUGGAAGCAUUUAUAAGGUGCAGAGGGACAGAGGUGAGAUAAGCCCUUUAUCGGUAUCCAUUGUGAAACCUGGUACAUUUGAUAGGUUACUACAAGUCGCCAUUGAAAAGGGGGCGCCAGCUAGUCAAUACAAGCCACCUAAGAUUGUGAGAAAUCGGGAAAUUGUUGAAUUUAUGGAAGGAUGCUCUCUUGUGACUGUGAGACUGGAUUCUUUAGAUGGUUAAGGGAUUGGAAGCACAUGGUGUUAACUCCUACAUUUCUAUAUUCUGGUGAUAGAAGUAUGCUGCCUAUUUGAUCAAUGAAAUUGUGAUAUUUUUCUGGCUCUGGUUCAAGUAUACUGGUAUCUAAUUGCAGUACAAAUUGUCGGAACAUCUAAAGUUUGGGUUGAUGGGCAAGAGGCUUCUUAUAUAUUCUUUGAAGAGAGUUUUAACUUUUUUUGCAUUGCAUAUUACAAUAAAAUUAUUCCCAAAUAACAUGUGAUUUUCAAUGUUACUGCAAUACUUAAUUGUACUUUUUAAUUGCUAAUUUAUGCUGUGUUCAAAAUCAUUCUACCACUUCUUGCAUUUGUCGUUCCUCCAAUUUUAUAAUCACCAACAUCUACAGUCUAUUGAUGUUUAACUUGUCGGGAAAAUUAUCUGUUUUCUUGUAAGGAUUGUUGCUAGCGCCAUAGUUCAGCGCCAUAGUUCAGAAGCUUGAAGCUGCUUGAUCACUCUGUUUUGACUUGCUAUUGAAAGGGGUUAUUUAGUUUUAUACAAUAAUGCUUAGUGUGCACUCUUUUGGGUAUAGCUGCAAAUUUGGUAUGCAAUGAGUCAAAUUAUUAGCAUCAUUGAGAUGAAUUAAUGCUCUAUGUAUUAUUAACGAGAUUUUUUGGAGAAAGAAAUAUUCAGUUGAAGAUAAAAUCAUUGAUUAUGACCCCUCUUGACUCUUUGAAGUAGAAGGAAAACCCUAAAGAGCAAACCUAGUCUUUAUCAGUGGGCAGUUGGGCUUGCAAUUUGCAACGUCACACUGUGGGACACCCAGCACACCUCAAGUUAAUGGUACCUCAUUCUGGAUUCUCCAGUGGCGACAGAAUGCUGUAUUAUUUACCCAGCACCUAGUAAUUUGUUUGUUCAAAAAGCAAUAUGCAUAUCUAUGAAGUCAUUGAACAAUGUAUCACGUUUGAAGUUAAACAGCUAGCUGAUGCAAAUCGCCUAUGGUUAGUAUGGCAUCUGCUCUUUCUAGAAAGGUAGAAGAUAUAUAUAUGUCACAGGUUCAAAAGUGAUAGAUCAUCGAUGCCUCUGAGAUAUGCGUACCAAGCCUAUUAUGGUAACACAUUCAUUCAACUCCAUUUGAAUUCUACACUAUAGAACCAGCUAGUGCCAGUUCAAAUUAAUUUCCUAUAAUCUGAUCGUACAAACAAUAAGAUUUCUUUGCUUUCAAG